rnacentral:misc_RNA from 1 species
UCAAGCUCCUCAAAUUCACUACAAUAUAAUAAGAUUUGAGCACCAGGCUAAAAAAGGUUGAGAUCUCAAUUGGCAAAAUGAAAGAUCAUGGGUUGGAAUUUCGUCAACUACAGUCAUUCCAUGUUAAUAUUUGUAAACGCCUGAUGAACAAAAAGUGAAUCUAUAACCAUUCAAGUAGCCCUAGACUUGAGAAUUCCAGUAAACAGUAUUAAAAGAUACAUUACAACGUACUUCUACAAACCACAAAUAAAAAUAAACCAGAAGAGUAAUUUCUAUGUCAGAAUCUUCUUAUAUUAUAUAUGCUUGAUAUAUGAAGCUGGAAAAAAAAAUCACAGUUCCCUAUCUCACAAUCAUAUAAUGUUUCUCAACUAUCAUAAACUUACCUUCACAUUCCAUAUUAUUUUAUUUGCCAUAGAUUAUCCUUGGAUUCAUAUUGUAAGGGCAGAAAAAAGUUUGUGUGCAAGAGAAAAUGGGUGCAUGCAUCAGCAUGUGUGGUUCACAUAUCAUGAGAAUCAACCUUCACGGGGUAUCUAAUCUUACUUUGAAUAUAUUCUAAAAUAAUUAUUACCUUUUGCUUGAAGACACCUUUG